rnacentral:lncRNA from 1 species
AUUAAAAGAAAACAAUGAGACACACUUCCAGUUUCACCUGUAUUUGUAAAUUUUCCCCCUUAUUCCUCAAAAUGGAGCAGCAAAAAACAUAGAGAUCAAAAGGAAUAUAGCAAGUCUACUAACAUAUAUCCCUUCAAUUUUUGUGUUUAUAUAUACAAACUACAUAUAUGACAUAUAUGAAGAGAAUCGUUAUUUUCACAAGUAAAAAUUGAUAUUUUAACAAGAUCUCUCUCACAUAGGUAUGGGACUCAUUUAUUAUUCAUGAGGGAGACACCUUUAUGAAACUAUCAGUAUUGCUUGUGGAAAUAUCAGGAAAUGCAGGUAAGUUUUGUCCCAACCAAUGCCAUGAGUAAACAACUAGUGAAAAUCUAGGAGUCUACUCGUUGCUGGUUUAUCUUUAUUGAUUCAUACUUCCUCUUAAUAGCUUCCCAAAAUGCAGGUAUUGCAACAUCAUCGGGCACUUCUUUGAAUGACGGGAGGUAAUUUACAUCCACAAUGACAUGAUCCCCGGUGCCUUCUUGAAUAUGAAAUUCAACAUAAUGACAACAAAAUAAUUAUUAGAUAAAAUGAAAUAGUUGCAUUAUAUGUAUAUAUAAGAGGAAACAACACCAAGAAGAUGCUCAAACCCAUUCAAUUAAGAUUUAAGAUUAAUAUACAUACUUAAAUGAAUGUAAUACUGUGAUGUGGUGUUAUUAUUAUAUGCGUCCGUGAUAAGCUUAGUGGUGCAGUUGCUGCUCUUCGGGAGAAGUGCAAUUAUAAGGCAUAUUCUUUUUAUUAGUUAUUUUCUUGCUUGGUGAAUAAGAGGUAGUAGUGGAAUCCAAAUUAUUAGUAGUUGUGGGCUUGAGUUUAGGAGAGAGUAGUUUUUCCUUGAUGUAUUUAAAUUACUUCAGUAUGUAAGUGAUAGUUCAGUCAAUAACAAAUUAUUGUGCUUUAUUCUCACCCUAAGUAUUAGAAUACUAUCUUCAUAAUUAAAUACCAGCUUUGAUUGGGACCUAUCAUUGGUAUCAAAGCUAUGGCAACCAAUAAGGAACAUAUUGAGCAGUUGGAGGAGGGACUACGCCGGAUGGAGCUCGACAUGGCUGACAGACUGCAGCAUGUGGAAGAAACUCUCAACCGCCUCUCCGAAUUCUUGCUUACAAAACAGGAGAACCCCAACCUCGGCAAUCAUCAUCAGGAAGGCAACCAUUGCCGAGAAGGAAACAGCGGAGAACGGCUGGUGGUAUCUUCCAAAACAGCAAAGCUUGAAUUUUCUUGAUUUUUAGGAGAUGAUCCGACGGAGUGGUUCAAUCGUGUGAACCAAUUUUUUGAAUUCCAAAACACCCCCGAAGCACAAAAAGUAUCCUUAGCCUCUUACCACUUGGAAGGAGAGGCCAACCAGUGGUGGCAAUGGACAUUCCAAGAAGAAGGACGCGCUCUCUCAUGGGCAAAAUUCGAAGACGAAAUCUGGGCUCGCUUUGGGUCUUCGGAGUGCGAAGAUUUUGAUGAAGCCCUUUCAAGGAUAAGGCAGGGCAGUUCACUGCGUGAUUACCAACGGGAAUUCGAGCGUUUGGGCAACCGGAUACACGGUUGGACACAGAAAGCUCUUGUGGGAACGUUCAUGGGUGGCCUCAAACCAGAAAUAGCUGAUGGUAUAAGAAUGUUCAAGCCCAAAUCGUUGAAAGAAGCUAUUAGCCUUGCACGAAUGAAAGAUGAGCAGCUGGCGCGACCUUUCAACCGAUUCAUUGAUGACUUCCCUUCUCCAACAAAAUUCAAUACAACUUUGCCCAUAAAACGACUUACCUGUGAUGAAAUGCAAAAAAGGCGAGUUCAAGGCCUUUGCUUUAAUUGCGAUGACAAAUUCACUCCAAGUCACAAGUGUCGAGGGCCCCAGGUCUUCUUGUUGGAAGUAGACGAUGGUUCAAACAAAGUUGAAGAGGACUGCGUAGCCAAUAAACCUUGAGGACAAGGUUCCAUUGAAAGAGGGCGGUAUUGAUAAGCUUAGUGGUGCAGUUGCUGCUCUUCAGGAGCACGAAGUGCAGUUAUAAGGCAUAUUCUUUUUAUUAGCUUAUUUUCUUGCUUGAUGAAUAAGAGGUAGUAGUGGAAUCCAAAUUAUUAGCAGUUGUGGGCUUGAGUUUAGGAGGUAGUAGUUUGCCUAUUCACCAAAGAUUUAGACUAGACUACUACACAGAUAAAUGAAGGGAAUACCAACAUAGGAAUAGAAAGAGUAAGAAAAUUGCUACCAAAACCCUACAAGAGAUGUGAAUCGUACAAAAGAUGCUAUAAAUUUAUUGAUAUUCUUUAGCUUCAUCAAUCUGUUAUAUUACAUUGUGGUUAAGGUUCCACACACGUAACAAGAUUUUAAACAUGACAUAUGAGAAGUGCUUCUUGGGUAAGCUUUUCAUGUAGAUAACCUUCUAUAAAUAGAAGCACUUGCACAAGGAUCACAUCAAGACCAGAUUACUUCCCUAUAAACUAUUAUCUCCCUACAACUGAGCACCAUACUUCCAUAGUGUCUCAGGUUUGUAUUUAAGUAUAAUAUGUACAUCUCCAUUAUCCUCGAUAGUUCUAUUAGUUCAUUGCUCUUCAUUUUCAAUGUUUACCUGAUGGAUUUCUAUCUAACUAUAUCACCCAAUCAACUGGUGGUACUGCUGAUGGCAAAGGGGUAUUGUUUUAUUGAAAAUUUUGGCCAGCUCUUCAUAGAAUUCAAUGUUUUAAAGGAUUUGAAACAGAGAGAAGAUAGUUGGCGGCAUAAUUUUUGACAAUGAAGGUGGCCAGUCCAACGAAGAUUCUUAGCCUGGCAAGUGUUUACACGAUUUUCAUUUUUUUGUUCUCAAAAAUAUAUAAAAAAAAACAAACUAGAUUUUAGUUUUUUUAGUUAUCCUGAUCUUGUUCUCUACUGAAUCUGAUUGGUUCUUUCUUGGCAAUUUUUGAAGGCUUUGCUCCCUUUUAUUUCUGCUUUAUUAUAAUUCUUUUGUCUAAAACCUUGUGAGGUCCUGUUAAUCCAAUUAUUUUAGUUGUUUUUAUCAAAUUAAAGCCGAGAAUCCUGUCUACAGGUUCAUAAUGCCAAAAUUGAAUAAAACUAUAAAUAGUUUAUGACAGUAAUGAACUAGGUACUCACAACAACAUCGAAACCAAAGAUGGUAAGGUUAAGCAUCUUUGUAAGCCACUUUGCAGCAUCAGUCACUAGCCCAAGAUCCAUUUGCUGAUUGUUGACUUUGUGGGAAUCUGCAUCUCCAGACUGCUGAACUUCUUGAGAAGUUGGUAAAGAUUUUAAGCUGU